UGUGUUAUGUGGUGAGCUGUUUGAAGAUAUUUAUAAUAAGAAUAUGGAUCAAUGGAUGUUCAAAGAAGCUGUUUAUUUGACUCUUUCAGCUCAAACAGUGGUAACAAGUCUUACAGGAGAAAAGGGUCCUAUUGUUCAUGCAAAGGGUCCUAUUGUUCAUGCAAACUGUAUAUCAGAAAGUUCUCUUCGUGAUUUGGAUCUAGCCAAUGAUGUAAAAGUGGUAAG
rnacentral:lncRNA from 1 species